rnacentral:tRNA from 3 species
GCCUUCUUGGCUCAGUUGGCAGAGCGUCUGCCUAGUAAGCAGAAGGUCGCUAGUUCGAUUCUGGCAGAAGGCA